AAACUAACAUGAUAUUGUGAUUAUCCUUCAAUUAAAAAAAAAAAAAGCAACCAGGGAGCAACUGGACUGGAAGGAGUCUUGACAGAGGGCCAAGGCCAGCCCCAUAUGCCACCUUCUGCUUGGCUGAAGUCCCCUCCUCCGUCUGAUGAGCCAAUGUAGAAGAGAGGAAUCAAAAGAUAUCAUGGCUUGGCUUUGUUGGGGGGAUAGUGAACAUGGAUCAGGACAUGGAGUAACUUUAGGAGGCUGGCUCUCCCCAAGAGCUCUCCCACAAGGACAAGAUCUCCCAGCCUUGCCUUUCCCUGCCAGCUGAUGAGAGUUACUCCUCAUCCCAGGGAUGAAUAAGGUCAUCAACACAAAGAAAAGACCAACUCCUCCCUGCUCAGAUACGUCAUCAUUCAGCCAGGCAGUGACAGGACGAAAAGAGGGCAGGAGAAUCUGUGCUGCUGAGGAAGACAUUCCCUCUGGGUCAACUUCUGCCUUCAAGAGCACAUUCUAGAAAAAAACUACAGGAUCUUCACAUCAGCAAGGCUGCAGCACAAUCCCAACACCUCCCUGAUUUGUCCUUGGAAAUUGUCUGUCGGCACCUGCGUAUCAAAGCAGAAGCUGUAGCCUGUGUCAUUCUCGCCCUUGUUCCAACGUUGCUGCUGAUGCAACGGGGCCUUGCUAAGUCCACCUGCAUCUCUUGCCAGGAUAUCAGGGUUUCUCUCGUGGUGUCAGAGAGGAGCGCAUGGUAUCAACAACAUGUUUGAUGCCGUGAAUCUUUGAUUUUUCUCAUCAGAGGGCCCCAGCUGGCUUCCCAAGUCUGAAAGUAGCCGACAGAAAUCAGAACGGCCAUGUGGUCACCAGCAUCACAGCAGCCAGGCCUGUCCUGGAGCCCCUACAACUCCACAGACCCCCACCCACUCCAUCCCCUCCCUCUCUGGCCCCAGCAGAUAGAUAAUGUGAUGAGGAGGGAAGGGCAGAGAGCCAACACUUUGUACAACAGCUCCAGUUUCCACUGUCAUCUCGAGAUAUGUGGAAUGAAAGUCCCUGUACAGUCAUGAAUGCGUAAUGCCUCAGUCACAGCCUCACAGCCUUCCGUGCCUCAGCGAGGGAAAAGCAAUCCCACAGCUCCUUUGUGGCCACUGGGGCCUCACUCAGACUCAGCUCCUCAACACGACAGAGGGUCGUAGUUUCAAAAAAAAGCCAGGAUGGUGGUUUGUUUCAACACCGUUUGCCAUGCUUGAGCAGAUGCACUUCAUCAAAGCUCCACUGGCCUGUGGGCUGCCUCCUGGCAGAUGGACAGCCCCUGCCCCCGGAGGCCCGGCGAUGACCUGUGCAUCCAUCCCUGUGCACCAAAAAUAUCCCGACCAUUUCUACACUCUGCAGUUCGUGCCAAAGUAGGUGCACACCUUCCCUGAGUUUGUAUGUGUUGAUUUAUUAAGCAGCGAGGGUUCCUCACAACCUGGUAAGAUUAAAAAAAAAAAAAGUCUUUCACUUCAGCUUUUAUUGUUGUUAUUUUUUGCCUUUUUAGUCUUCUUGGCAUGAACCCAGGUACCUCUUGAUAGCUGUUGUGUUGUCUCCAAGACGACAACCUCCGCAAAAAUGAUACCCGUAUUUCACAGAGGAUGGGCCUUACCCUGUUCUCUCUCCACCCCAUUUAAGAAAAUUCCAGAGUUUGGCUAGCACUGUGACAGCCUGUCAGAGAAAAAAUAUUUGGCCAGAAGCUAUAAAUAGCUACCUUCUGCUGAUGUAUUAUAACAGUGAUGGUUAUAGCAGUGGGGAGCGGGUCUGGGUAAGAUCGUCACUGGGCAAGGUGUCUGAUACUUCCUCUCAGCCUCCUUCAGGAAUCUCCCACAUCAGUGGUUCUAAAUUGGGGCCAUUUCUGCCCCCAAGAAACACUGACAGUGUCUGCAGAUAUUUUUGGUUGUCACAAUUGGGGAGGUGGGAGAGUGCUACUGGAAUCUAGGGGGAUAGAGGCCAGGGAGGCUCCUAAACAUCCUACAAUGCACAGGACAGCUCCCCCCGCCGCCAUCAAAAAAUGAUCCUUGUGCCAAGACUGAGAAAUCAUGAUGGUAUCUGCUAAGAGUUGGUGAUGGACAGGGAAGCCUGAUGUGCUGCAGUCCAUGCAGUCGCAAAAGUUGGACAUGACUGAGCAACUGAACUAAACUGAAGUCACCCCCACUUUUAUAUGACAUUUCAAGUAAUCUGUGGCAUAUACAGACAAACUUAGGGUGGAGGAAAGGUCACCCUUCUUCAAUUCACUUAAACAUCAUUAAAAUGUAUCAAACAUGUCUACCUGUGUAAGGACCU
ensembl:lncRNA